UACGUAGGGUGCGAGCGUUGUCCGGAAUUAUUGGGCGUAAAGGGCUCGUAGGCGGUUUGUCGCGUCGGGAGUGAAAUCCACUGGCUUAACUGGUGGCUUGCUUUCGAUACGGGCAGACUGGAGGUAUGCAGGGGAGAACGGAAUUCCUGGUGUAGCGGUGAAAUGCGCAGAUAUCAGGAGGAACACCGGUGGCGAAGGCGGUUCUCUGGGCAUUUCCUGACGCUGAGACGCGAAAGCGUGGGGAGCGAACCGG
rnacentral:rRNA from 1 species